AUGGGUUAUGAAGACAGGGAUGGUCUCGUACACACUCAGGAUGAAGGUAUGGGUUAUGAAGACAGAGACUGUCUCGUACACACUCAGGAUGAAGGUUGGUUUAUGAAGACAGAGACCGUCUCGUACACACUCAGGAUGAAGGUAUGGGUUAUGAAGACAGGGAUGGUCUCGUACACACUCAGGAUGAAAGUAUGGGUUAUGAAGACAGGGACGGUCUCGUACACACUCAGGAUGAAGGUAUGGGAUAUGAAGACAGGGACCGUCUCGUACACACUCAGGAUGAAGGUGUGGGUUUUGAAGACAGGGACGGUCUCGUACACACUCAGGAUGAAGGUAUGGGAUUAUGAAGACAGGGACCGUCUCGUACACACUCAGGAUGAAGGUAUGGGUUAUGAAGACAGGGACGUGUCCAUAUUGUAGAUGCUUAUAGGACAGCCACCCAUUAGAGCCAUGAUGUGACAUUAUCAACUAUUUUCUUACAUCGUUAGAUGUAACACUAUUAGGUCAUCAUGCUGCUUGACUAGAUGUUUGUUAUUUAGCUGAAUUAUAGUUUCCUAUUCAGAUCAAUAGCAUAAAUAAACCUAUAGGCACAUAAAGCCAUCUAUAGCCACUCUAUAGGGGACCUUAACUGUAGAUAAACUGAGAAGCAUUUCCUUUGGUCAUCGUCAAGGACAAGAGUGUAUGUACCUGAAGUCUGGAAUGUUUAUGCUUUCUGAUUGGUCAAAAACGUGCUAUCUGAACAAAGACAACAUUUUGUAAAAACAAUAUAUUUUUGUAUAAUUUUUUUUCAUUAGUCCACAGUUCCAGUUUCAAAAUGUGUUGCGUGUCACCAGUCAAGUGAAGAUAUUGGACUUUCAAGAAGAAAAUGUUCAUAGGCUUUUAGCCUGUAAUCCUAAGGGUGGAAUCCAGCCAAAGCUUCAGGUUGAGUUAGGUAAAAUAGGUCCCGAGCUUUCUGUCAAUAGAUCAACAUACUUGGGAACAGAAAGUUAAAAUGGAAUCCCUAUUCCCUGUUUAGGGCACUAGUUUGACCAGGGCCCAUUUAGGACACAGCCCAGAUCUUAUCAGACAACCUACUUGGUGAUGUUAAAACCUUUGAAAGAGAGAGUGCUCCAUUGUGGUCUGGCUCAAACAACAGAUUCUUGUUAGUGUAUUCUAAGUGUUGUGAUCACACUAAGGACUAAAAUACUUGGGUAAAAAGCUAUUCAGCCAUUGAGAAAGACACGUCUUCAUACCGUAUGAUGACGUGGUAAUGUGUUUAGAACGAUAAGUACUGUAGUGAAAGCUGUUAGACAUCAGGGUGGUUUGUUUCCGUGGCACUGUGAGGAUGAGAUUAGCAGAAAUAUUGACUGGACAGACUCUUCAUCUUCCAGGUUUACAAGCUUCUGUUUGUAUACGUCCCAAAUGGCUUUCUAUUCCCUAUAUAGUGGACUAGGUGGCCCUGGGCACUGGUCAAAAAGUAGUGCACUGUGUAUGGAAUAGGGUGCCAUUUGAGACUAACCAAAGUAAGGCAAGAAGUUCAGUAAGAAAGAGAGGGAAAAUAGAGAGCAGGUUAUAUAUUGGAGAAGUGGUUAUACAUUAGCCAGUUCUUUACAUAUUCAUAGAUUAGUCUUUAAAUAGUUCAUGUGGUAUCAACAACAACAACCAUUUUUACAAAAUAGAAAACAAAUAACUAA
rnacentral:lncRNA from 1 species